CCCAAAAAAUGAAAAAAGCAUCUCCCUCCCCACUCUCUACUGCUACUACUACUAGACAAUAGACAAGACAUCUCAUAUCACUCACGUAUAUAAAUGUCCCAAUGCGUUAAUACUUUUUCUUACCCUACCGCUAGCCGUUCUUGAACGAAACAGAGAAAGAUAGAGAUGGGAAACAGUAUAGGCAGAGGAAGGAAGGCAAAGGUGAUGAAGAUUGACGGAGAAACGUUCAAGUUAAAGACUCCGGUGACGGCUUGGGAAGUCGUCAAGGACUAUCCAGGGCACGUUCUGCUGGAUUCGGAAGCCGUUAAGCAUUUCGGGAUCCGUGCUAAACCAUUAGAGCCUGAACAGGAAUU
rnacentral:misc_RNA from 1 species